rnacentral:lncRNA from 1 species
GCCGGGUAUCAUGUGCGUCCACUUUGUAGAUUAACGUUUGCAUAUAAAAGUGCGUAUGACAAAUCAAAAGAAAUUCCUGUUGAUAAAAUGUACUUAUUCCACAAUACAACAAGAUCAGUACAUGGAAUAAUGUGAGCAACAUUUUAAGUACUGCAAACAACGAUUAAUCAACAUAUGCAUACUGUUUAACACAAUUGUUCAU